rnacentral:rRNA from 1 species
GAUUAACGCUGGCGGUAUGCCUAACACAUGCAAGUCGAACGGUAACAGGCCGCAAGGUGCUGACGAGUGGCGAACGGGUGAGUAAUGCAUCGGAACGUGCCCAGUCGUGGGGGAUAACGCAGCGAAAGCUGUGCUAAUACCGCAUACGAUCUGGGGAUGAAAGCGGGGGACCGUAAGGCCUCGCGCGAUUGGAGCGGCCGAUGUCAGAUUAGGUAGUUGGUGGGGUAAAGGCUCACCAAGCCGACGAUCUGUAGCUGGUCUGAGAGGACGACCAGCCACACCGGGACUGAGACACGGCCCAGACUCCUACGGGAGGCAGCAGUGGGGAAUUUUGGACAAUGGGCGCAAGCCUGAUCCAGCAAUGCCGCGUGCAGGAAGAAGGCCUUCGGGUUGUAAACUGCUUUUGUACGGAGCGAAAAGGCUCUCUCUAAUACAGGGGGCUCAUGACGGUACCGUAAGAAUAAGCACCGGCUAACUACGUGCCAGCCGCCGCCGUAA